rnacentral:rRNA from 1 species
UACGAAGGGUGCUAGCGUUGCUCGGAAUCACUGGGCGUAAAGCGCACGUAGGCGGAUUGUUAAGUCAGGGGUGAAAUCCUGGAGCUCAACUCCAGAACUGCCUUUGAUACUGGCGAUCUCGAGUCCGGGAGAGGUGAGUGGAACUGCGAGUGUAGAGGUGAAAUUCGUAGAUAUUCGCAAGAACACCAGUGGCGAAGGCGGCUCACUGGCCCGGUACUGACGCUGAGGUGCGAAAGCGUGGGGAGCAAACAGG